GACGAACGCUGGCGGCGUGCUUAACACAUGCAAGUCGAACGGAAAGGCCCUGCUUGCCGGGUACUCGAGUGGCGAACGGGUGAGUAACACGUGGGUGAUCUGCCCUGCACUUCGGGAUAAGCCUGGGAAACUGGGUCUAAUACCGGAUAGGAGCCAUUUUUAGUGUGAUGGUUGGAAAGUUUUUUCGGUGUAGGAUGAGCUCGCGGCCUAUCAGCUUGUUGGUGGGGUAAUGGCCUACCAAGGCGGCGACGGGUAGCCGGCCUGAGAGGGUGGACGGCCACAGUGGGACUGAGAUACGGCCCAGACUCCUACGGGAGGCAGCAGUGGGGAAUAUUGCACAAUGGGCGCAAGCCUGAUGCAGCGACGCCGCGGGGGGGAUGACGGCCUUCGGGUUGUAAACUCCUUUCGCUAGGGACGAAGCUUUUUGUGACGGUACCUAGAUAAGAAGCACCGGCUAACUACGUG
rnacentral:rRNA from 1 species